GACCAGGUAGGUUGCAUGAUGAGGUGUGUCAAGAACUCGCAGGGCAGAAUUUCACUGAGGAGGCCACGAGCGUCCGCCUGAAAAGCGGAAGGUCGCCGGUUCGAUCCCGGCCCUGGCCACCA
rnacentral:tRNA from 1 species